CGUUCUUGCCCCAGCCUCCAGUUCGUGCUACCAGUGUGUGUCUCCUCCUUCCCCAGCUUAAAGACCCCUCUACAUCAUCCACUGCGCCGAUCUCGUGCAUGUCUUCGAGCUCAACAUAGAUCAUCACCAAGAGGAAAUAGCCACCAAUGGUGUACUAUUCCCAAGCUGACCACCAUUCACCUACACGACCUCCCGAAGCUGCAGAAGAUAUGCAAAUUCAAGAUGGUGACACCAGUUCUCGAGACCAAUAAGAUAAGGGGAUUCUGGAGCCUGCGCAGGCUGCCAUCCAUGGGUGCCCGUGGCCAAGGCGUGAAGAAGCCGAUUGUCAAGAUCGAGAAGAACGUGUGGGAUGCCCUGGAAUGGGACGCCGACCACCACCACGACCACUUCGAGGCGCCGGUCCACUCGCGCUACUACGAGAAGCUACCCAGAGUCUCUGUUCUGAGGUGA
rnacentral:rRNA from 1 species